CCGCGUGGAGGAUGAAGGUCUUCGGAUUGUAAACUCCUGUUGCUCGGGACGAAUGGCUCCAACCUAAUACGUUGGAGUGUGACGGUACCGAGUGAGGAAGCCCCGGCUAACUCUGUGCCAGCAGCCGCGGUAAUACAGAGGGGGCAAGCGUUGUUCGGAAUUACUGGGCGUAAAGGGCGCGUAGGCGGCCUGCUAAGUCGAACGUGAAAUCCCUGGGCUCAACCCAGGAACUGCGUCCGAUACUGACAGGCUUGAAUCCGGGAGAGGGAUGCGGAAUUCCAGGUGUAGCGGUGAAAUGCGUAGAUAUCUGGAGGAACACCGGUGGCGAAGGCGGCAUCCUGGACCGGCAUUGACGCUGAGGCGCGAAAGCUAGGGGAGCAAACGGGAUUAGAUACCCCGGUAGUCCUAGCCCUAAACGAUGAAUGCUUGGUGUGGCGGGUAUCGAUCCCUGCCGUGCCGAAGCUAACGCAUUAAGCAUUCCGCCUGGGGAGUACGGUCGCAAGGCUG
rnacentral:rRNA from 1 species